rnacentral:rRNA from 1 species
UACGUAGGACCCAAGCGUUAUCCGGAAUUACUGGGCGUAAAGAGUUGCGUAGGUGGCAUAGUAAGUGGGGCGUGAAAGCGUGUGGCUCAACCAUACAGCUGCGUUCUAAACUGCUAAGCUUGAGUGCGAGAGAGGUAGAUGGAAUUCCCAGUGUAGGAGUGAAAUCCGUAGAUAUUGGGAGGAACACCGAUGGCGUAAGCAGUCUACUGGCUCGUUACUGACACUAAGGCACGAAAGCGUGGGGAGCAAACGGG